rnacentral:tRNA from 1 species
GCACCCAUAGCUCAAUUGGAUAGAGCACUUGACUACGGAUCAAGGGGUUAGGGGUUCAACUCCUCUUGGGUGCGCCA